rnacentral:rRNA from 1 species
GGGGAAUAUUGCACAAUGGGCGGAAGCCUGAUGCAGCAACGCCGCGUGAGUGAAGAAGGUUUUCGGAUUGUAAAGCUCUGUCAUAUGGGACGAUAGUGACGGUACCAUAUGAGGAAGCCACGGCUAACUACGUGCCAGCAGCCGCGGUAAUACGUAGGUGGCAAGCGUUGUCCGGAAUUACUGGGCGUAAAGGGUGCGCAGGCGGACAUUUAAGUGAGAUGUGAAAGACCCGGGCUUAACUUGGGCAGGGCAUUUCAAACUGGGUGUCUUGAGUGCAGGAGAGGAGAACGGAAUUCCUAGUGUAGCGGUGAAAUGCGUAGAGAUUAGGAAGAACACCAGUGGCGAAGGCGGUUCUCUGGACUGUAACUGACGCUGAGGCACGAAAGCGUGGGUAGCAAAC